GUGGGGAAUAUUGGACAAUGGGCGAAAGCCUGAUCCAGCCAUGCCGCGUGUGUGAAGAAGGUCUUCGGAUUGUAAAGCACUUUAAGUUGGGAGGAAGGGCAGUAAGUUAAUACCUUGCUGUUUUGACGUUACCAACAGAAUAAGCACCGGCUAACUUCGUGCCAGCAGCCGCGGUAAUACGAAGGGUGCAAGCGUUAAUCGGAUUUACUGGGCGUAAAGCGCGCGUAGGUGGUUCAGCAAGUUGGAGGUGAAAUCCCCGGGCUCAACCUGGGAACUGCCUCCAAAACUGCAUGACUAGAGUACGGUAGAGGGUAGUGGAAUUUCCUGUGUAGCGGUGAAAUGCGUAGAUAUAGGAAGGAACACCAGUGGCGAAGGCGACUACCUGGACUGAUACUGACACUGAGGUGCGAAAGCGUGGGGAGCAAACAGGAUUAGAUACCCGGGUAGUCC
rnacentral:rRNA from 1 species